rnacentral:rRNA from 1 species
UACGUAGGGUGCGAGCGUUGUCCGGAAUUAUUGGGCGUAAAGGGCUCGUAGGCGGUUUGUCGCGUCGGGAGUGAAAACCUCGGGCUUAACUCGGGGCUUGCUUUCGAUACGGGCAGACUAGAGGUAUGCAGGGGAGAACGGAAUUCCUGGUGUAGCGGUGAAAUGCGCAGAUAUCAGGAAGAACACCCGUGGCGAAAGCGGCUCUCUGGAACGGUACUGACGCUGAGACGCGAAAGCGUGGGGAGCGAACAGG